rnacentral:rRNA from 1 species
AAUGAACGCUGGCGGCGCGCCUAAUACAUGCAAGUCGAGCGAGAAGACGUAGCAAUACGUUUGUAAAGCGGCGAACGGGUGAGGAAUACAUGGGUAACCUACCUCGAGUGGGAAUAACUAGCCGAAAGGUUAGCUAAUACCGCGUACGCUCCUUGGACUUCGGUUCAGGGAGGAAAGCGAUACCGUGGGUAUCGCGCUCUUGGUUGGGCUCAUGUCCUAUCAGCUUGUGGUGAGGAACGGCUCACCAAGGCUUCGACGGGUAGCUGGUCCUGAGAGGACGAUCAGCCACACUGGCACUGCGACACGGGCCAGACUCCUACGGGAGGCAGCAGUAAGGAAUAUUGCGCAAUGGGCGAAAGCCUGACGCAGCGACGCCGCGU